GUACUCCAGAAAGGCUUUAAUAUCGUUAAAACCCAUUAGAAAUAGACCAAGGGUACAGAAUAGAGGACCCAGAGACUAACCCACAAAAUUACAACUACCUUAUAUUAGACAAAGGUGCCAAAAGCAUUCACUGGAGAAAGGAUAGAAUCUUCAACAAAUGGUGCUGGGAAAACUGGAAAUCCAUAUGCAACAAGAUGAAAUUAAAUCCCCAUCUCUCACCAUGCACAAAAGUUAACUCAAAAUGGAUCAACGAUCGAGGGAUUAAACCAGAGACUCUGUGUCUAAUAGAAGAAAAAGUAGGCCCUAAUCUCCAUCACGUGGGGCUAGGCCCCAACUUCCUUAAUAAUAUGCCUAUAGCACAAGAAUUAAAACCAAGAAUCAACAAAUGAGAUGGAUUCAAACUAAAAAGUUUUUUUUUCUCAGCAAGAGAAAUAAUAUGUGAGGUGAACAGGGAGCCUACAUCCUGGGAACAAAUUUUUACCCCUCACACAUCAGAUAGAGUUCUAAUCUCUAAGGCAUAUAAAGAGUUCAACAAGAUAAUCACACACACACACACACACACACACAAACAGAUAAUCAAUUAAUAAUGGGCCGAGGACCUGAACAGACACUUCUCUGAAGAGGAUAUACAAUCAAUCAACAAAUAUACCAAAAAGUACUCAUCAUCUCUAGCAAUCAGAGAAAUGCAGAUUAAAACUACUCUAAGAUACCAUCUCACUCUUACUGAGUGGCAGCCAUUAUGAAGCAAACAACAACAAGUGCUGGCGAGGAUGUGGGGAAAAGGCACACUCAUAUCAUUGCUGGUGGGACUGCAAACUGGUGCAGCCAAUCUGGAAAGCAGUAUGGAGAUUCCUUGGAAAACUUGAAAUGGAAAUACCAUUUGACCCAACUAUCCCACUCCUCAGUUUAUACCCAAAGGACUUAAAAACAGCAUAGUACAGGGACACAGCCACAUCAAUGUUUAUAGCAGCACAAUUCACGAUAGCUAAAUAGUGGAACCAAUCUAGAUGCCCUUCAAUAGAUGAAUGCAUAAAGAUAGA
rnacentral:lncRNA from 1 species